ACCAAUCAUAUGGAGUGGUUCCCAUGACGAAUUUGACGCUAUGCGAUCCAAGGCUGGAGACUUUCUUCAACAAAGAUGGCUGACAAAAAUCCUAUGAUAGAAGCAAAUGGACUCCUGAAACAACCAGCAACCCAGGCUGUCGUCUUGUGAAACAGUGGAUGUAAAGAAUCUAGCUAGCUAAAGCAUUUACUGCAAAUUGAAUGUACAAUUUUGUAAGCUUGCCUUGCUGAUAUUUGCCAUGCAAUGCAGAUAGUUGAAAUAACGUAGAUAGCUAUGUUCUUGCUUAUUGUGCAGUGGAGGAUAAAAAUACCUGAAUGCCUAUGGAUUUGUAGCUAGGCAUCUAGCCGAACUGUGUAUGGACCCAAACGUUUGGUAUACAUAUUAGUUCAGAAUCUAGCGAUCAUAAUUUUUUUUAACUAGGCAAGUCUGUUACCAAAAGUAUUGUAUUGACUAUGAGGGACUACCUCGGCCGACGCUGGGCCAAUUGUGGGCCGCCCAAUCAAGAUGGGAUGCAGCCUGGAUUCGAACCAGGUUCUGCAGUGACGCCUCUUGCAGUGUCUUAGACCACUGCGUCACUCUAGAGCCCUUCAUAGCUAGUUGUAUCAACUUCAAAACAGUCUGAAUGACAUAAAUGAAGCCUAUGGGUUGAGUAAAAUAUAUAACUUUGUGCCAAGGAUGCAAGUUGUAUAUACAUGCAGGUAUUACCAUGCAUGAGAUCCCCACAUUGUAGCCCGUACAUUUAAUAUAUUCACUGGUCAUGUACUCUACCAUGGCAAAUAAAGGUGCAGUUCAGGUAUGAA